UGCAAGUCGAACGGAAAGGCUCCUGCUUGCAGGGGUACUCGAGUGGCGAACGGGUGAGUAACACGUGGGUGAUCUGCCUCGUACUCUGGGAUAAGCUUGGGAACCUGGGUCUAAUACCGGAUAGUAGCCGCCUUUAGUGUGGUGGUUGGAAAGUUUUUUCGGUGCAAGAUGAGCUCGCGGCCUAUCAGCUUGUUGGUGGGGUAAUGGCCUACCAAGGCGUCGACGGGUAGCCGGCCUGAGAGGGUGUACGGCCACAUUGGGACUGAGAUACGGCCCAGACUCCUACGGGAGGCAGCAGUGGGGAAUAUUGCACAAUGGGCGGAAGCCUGAUGCAGCGACGCCGCGUGGGGGAUGACGGCCUUCGGGUUGUAAACUCCUUUCGACAGGGACGAAGCUUUUUGUGACGGUACCUGUAUAAGAAGCACCGGCUAACUACGUGCCAGCAGCCGCGGUAAUACGUAGGGUGCGAGCGUUGUCCGGAAUUACUGGGCGUAAAGAGCUCGUAGGUGGUUCGUCGCGUCGUCUGUGAAAUUCCGGGGCUUAACUUCGGGCGUGCAGGCGAUACGGGCAUAACUUGAGUGCUGUAGGGGAGACUGGAAUUCCUGGUGUAGCGGUGAAAUGCGCAGAUAUCAGGAGGAAC
rnacentral:rRNA from 1 species